GCAUGCAGGAAGUGCAUGCACAGUAAACCACAGAGACUCUUUGGAGCUGUGUGUUAUAGUGCUGAGGUUUGCAUCUCACAACUAUUGGGAGGCCUCUAUCAAGCCUUUAAUUCUCACAGUGAUCUACUAUGUUGGUAGUUACUGAGGAAGAAGUAUUGAAAUCUUCAAGAAAUGCAGCAGAGAUCUUUUGAGAUCCAUGAAGACUGGAGUAAAAAUAUCGCCCUUCGCAUCUCCAUAGAAAUGGCCCCCUCUCACCAAUGACUGAGAAUGUAAGGAGAAUGUAAGGAGAUUUCCAGUGUCUGCAGUCUUUUGGAUCUUCAGGGAAGGAAUCUAUUAGUCUCAAACUGCUGAGAAUCCUGUUGGAUUCAAUAGUGAGACCAUAUCAGAGUUAUUCAUUCUGUUUCUAACCCAGAAGACUGAAAGUUGACUGGCAGGAGGUCCUGUGAAGAGAUACUGCUGACCACCAAGAGGACCAUAACCUUGUUGUGGUUUGGAGGCUUGCGUGCCUCAGUGACCCGGAGAGCUAUGCUGGCUGGAGUCAGGUCUUUACGCUUCGGCUCUUGGUAGGGCCACCAAUGCCAAAAGGGUCAAAGGGUAGAGGCCAGGCUAAGUGGUCCACUGAUCCUCAACUUCAGCUCAGGACUAACAAAUCUGACUGGUUAAACAAAGCCAUUAUGGAAACAGCAAUGGAGAAUCCUUCUGCAUCUGAGUGCGACGGUAUCCCUGAGUCUCCACUCAGGAACUUGCAUGAGUGACAGUAGUGAAAAGCGAGUGGAAGCUACUGACAUGAUGAAUGAAGCCCUGAACACUGAUAGAGAUGGAGGACAUUCCACCCUGCCCUGUGUAAUGGGCAGUACAGAGAUGUUGCUCAGUGUUUCCAAUAUUUUUCUAUUUUCUAUUUUUAUUCCAGAUUUUUAUUCCACCUACAGCUCUUUGCCAUUAAAACCUGAAACUGUUAUAAUCUUUUUCAUCAAGUAAGUGAAGGGAAUUAUGAAUAGGACAGGGUGAUGGAUGAGGUUAUGAAUUAACCAUCGGUCUUAUUGAAUGGAGCAAUAGAGUUAAGAGUCCAUAAUAAUCUUAUUCCCAUUACUUGUGUUCUUACUGAUGAUCUUUGAAGAGUUCAAAGAGAAACCAAAGUUUGUUUAAUUAAUGAUUUGGUAAGUGGGGCAAAAAGCAGAGGGCAGCAUUUUAAUGAGUAACUUCCAACCUCUUACAAACAUAAACAGUUUAAUGUUCUGUGCUGACAAGACACAAAACAGAAGAUAAAUUGAAUCUGUACAAAAAUAUACAAAUCCCAUGUGUAGCAUUCAGUGAAUUUGGUUCGGGUCGUAUCAAUGAUCAAUGAAUUUAUAUAAUUAAAUAUUUGCCAAGUCCGAAAUUCUACCACAUGGUCAGGGAUAUCUGCUGACUGUCCUUUUCUGAACAUUUUAUUAAUGUUGAACUACUGUAAUGUUGAACUACUUUUCCAAUAUGAAGGUGUGGAGUGGAACUACAAUAAAUUCAAAUUGAAAUAAAUUUUGAAAAGAAGAUUAAAUAGAACAAGUGACUAAAUGUUAAGAGCUGUGUGGCAGUGAUUAGCUGUGUAGGGUGAAGAAAUUCACUCUUAGAUUGAAAUGUGUGACUGGUUAUUUCCAAUGUUAGGGCCAGUAGUUAAAUUAAAUACAACAAAGUAAGGUUAGUAUACCUCCUCUUUUCUAACAGGAUGGAUCUGUAUGUACUUAAUUCCUAACAUUGGUGCCCUGACUAAAAUGACAAACUGUCCCAUAUUUUUAGACUCGUAAUGUUUAUUGCACACCACAAAAACCUAAAUCAAUUUUGCCAAAUAUUCAUAAAACUAUCAUCAGAAUCAGAAUCAAAUUUGUUAUCAUUGACCUAUGUCUUGAAAUUUGUUUGUUUUGUGGCAACAAUGUAAGACAUAAACACUUACUAUGUUGCAAAAUUAAAUAAAUAGAACAAAAGAGAAAUGCCAUUAUACAUGGGCAAGUAGAAGUUCUGUGGUGCCUAGUUAAAAAUCUUGUGCUCGCAAUAACCAUAGCCAGAUAGCUGUGGGCUGUUGUCCUGUGCAAAUGCAUAUUUUUCUGUUCUUGAACCCAAUUCAAGAUGGCUGCUGCUAGGCAACCAGGGGACCAUAGGAACAUAGAGCAGGGUGAGGUAUGUGUGGAUGGGGCAUGGCUGUGAACAAAGCCCAGAAUGUGACUGGAACACAGUGGGAAUGAAGCCAGGUAUGUAGGCCCCGUGGAAGAAAUGAGACUGGUUGUACAGUUACGAAAGGGCAGGCUAGAAUGUGGCUGGGACAGCUGUCCCCAAGUCUUCUACACCCCUAACAACUCCACUUUCAAACUGGUAGGUUGUCUCCAAUUCCAUGGCCUCUGGUGUGGAAUCUUGUCAAAUGCUUUCUGUAAAUCCAGAGAAUUACCAGUCUAGAUCCCGCCACAUUGUUACCCUAACAAAUAACUAGGCUUCUACGAGACAAUUCACCCUUCACACCCCCAUUUCCCUUUCUUGAUUAUCCCAUUUCUGACCAAAUGUUUUAUUACCUAGGAGAGAAAUGUGGCUUUAGUUGCCAGUGCCAAAUCCAGGUUUAUUUGGAACAGAAUCUGCAGGUACAUUGCAAUGUGUGAUUUGUAGCCAAUGCUCACGCAGAAUUGGAAACUUCUGUCCCCAACAAUGGAUUCUGGUAACUUCUCACAACUGACAAUACACUAAUCAGUAAUGUAAAUUCCUUAUUAAUCUCCUUUAACUUGUUUUGAAUAGAAGAGUUUACACAUUUUCUAUUUUAAAAUGGCAAUAUUUGAACCUCUUGAGAACAUUGGAUUAAAUGGUUGAUAAAUCCUGAAGCAGCAUCUUUUGGAAAUCAGGUACAAAAUACAUUGUUAUUUUCCUAAACC